rnacentral:rRNA from 1 species
GAUGAACGCUGGCGGCGUGCCUAAUACAUGCAAGUCGAGCGAACAGACGAGGAGCUUGCUCCUCUGACGUUAGCGGCGGACGGGUGAGUAACACGUGGAUAACCUACCUAUAAGACUGGGAUAACUUCGGGAAACCGGAGCUAAUACCGGAUAAUAUAUUGAACCGCAUGGUUCAAUAGUGAAAGACGGUUUUGCUGUCACUUAUAGAUGGAUCCGCGCCGCAUUAGCUAGUUGGUAAGGUAACGGCUUACCAAGGCGACGAUGCGUAGCCGACCUGAGAGGGUGAUCGGCCCCACUGGAACUGAGACACGGUCCAGACUCCUACGGGAGGCAGCAGUAGGGAAUCUUCCGCAAUGGGCGAAAGCUUGACGGAGCAACGCCGCGUGAGUGAUGAAGGUCUUCGGAUCGUAAAACUCUGUUAUUAGGGAAGAACAAAUGUGUAAGUAACUAUGCACGUCUUGACGGUACCUAAUCAGAAAGCCACGGCUAACUACGUG